AUUGAACGCUGGCGGCAUGCCUUACACAUGCAAGUCGAACGGCAGCACGGGCUUCGGCCUGGUGGCGAGUGGCGAACGGGUGAGUAAUACAUCGGAACGUGCCCUGUAGUGGGGGAUAACUAGUCGAAAGAUUAGCUAAUACCGCAUACGACCUGAGGGUGAAAGCGGGGGAUCGCAAGACCUCGCGCGAUUGGAGCGGCCGAUAUCAGAUUAGGUAGUUGGUUGGGUAAAGGCCUACCAAGCCUACGAUCUGUAGCUGGUCUGAGAGGACGACCAGCCACACUGGGACUGAGACACGGCACAGACUCCUACGGGAGGCAGCAGUGGGGAAUUUUGGACAAUGGACGCAAGUCUGAUCCAGCCAUGCCGCGUGCGGGAAGAAGGCCUUCGGGUUGUAAACCGCUUUUGUCAGGGAAGAAAAGGUUCUGGUUAAUACCUGGGACUCAUGACGGUACCUGAAGAAUAAGCACCGGCUAACUACGUGCCAGCCGCCGCCGUAACAC
rnacentral:rRNA from 1 species